rnacentral:lncRNA from 1 species
AAAAAAAAAAAAAAUAGAUGAAGAAAAAGCUAAUGAAUUAGAAAAGAAAUAAUAUAAGAACAAAAAUGGGAACAAGAAUACUCCAUCUCUCUGACCAGCCAGGCAAGCAGAAAGGAGAAAAAUGUGUGUUCUCCAUCCUCUCCCUGAGAGAGUCUAUGUGUGCUUCAUCAACCCUGACUGCCUACAGUAUGCAACAGACUUCACCACCUUCCUUCACCAAGAAGAUUGCUUGCACAGAGAAGGCUCCUCAGACUGCUUGGGACACCUUGCACAGAUGCAUGCCACUGCCUUGAACUCAGAAUGGACACUAAAAGAGAUCCUGAACAUAUUGGUGGGAAAUGUGAUCAGACACCUGCAACUCAGACCCUACCUGUUGGGUAAAGGACAGCUAGAACUUCUUGUGAUAUUCCCAGUUUUAUCUGACAUAAAUCCACUAAUUUCCAUACAGUAGUCCACCCAACCCUAAUUCAAAGUUUUUUGAACAGAGGUUGACAACAGUUAACAGGUGACAACAGGUUUCAAGUAUUUAGUUUGUGAAUGAGCCUGUGAAAAUGCUCAUAACCCCUCAGUAACUAGUGUUGGUGCCUGAUGAGAGGACAGAACAUGGAAUAUAAUCUAUGGCUAUCUGUGGAUCAAUUAUGCAUACAUAUAUAUAUAUAUGCACACAUAUAUAUCUCUGUGUGUAAGAGUAUUUGUACUGCAUAUAUUCUUUUUCCUUUAGCAAACUUCUUUGAUAAAGUAAAAUAUAGGAUGCAGAAUUAUAAGAGAGUAACAGUAAAACUUGCCACUGUGACCUUUUUGUUCAUUCAUAGCAACACAAAAAUUACCAGUAUAAUAUAGCACAAUCAAAAAUAUAAAUAUAGUUUCUUACUUGAAGGAAGAAUAGGGAGAAAACUCAGUGCUCUUCACUUGAAAGGCUCUAAAAUACCACAGGGCUUGUGCAGCAUAAGGAAGUGACAGAGAUAGAACAUAAACUGUACAGUCACACCUAUUAGUGAACAUAAUGCUAUAUUAAUGACACUUUUGCAUCAAAUAUAAGAACAGAAACUAUACUGUGUGUCAUUUAGUUAAUUUAGAGGAAAAACUUACACCAAAAAUAUGUGCUCACUGCAACGAUUCAAGGUUGAAUGCUUUUCACAAUAGAUUUGCAAAAUAAGCAGCAACCUAAUAAAAAGUUAUGUCAGUCUUUACAGUUCGUCAGCCAAACCUAAGAAAAUAACAUUGAAUGAUUGGCGGCAGAGUUUUGUGGAAACAAUGCGUAUGGAAAAGAGUGACAAUACUGUGCCUGGUGCUGGCUUCAUACUGAAAAUAUCUGUGCUUUGCAAUUGCUGUGGAUUAAUAUAUCUCUUGAAAUGUAUGUACAUUCAGGUAGUAUUAAGAGAUAAAUAUAUGCCUUUUCAAUGGUACUUUUUAAUUUGGGAGAAUGUCACAGAAUACUUUUCAACACUUCUAGGAAACUGUUACUCACUAAACAAAGCCUGUAGCCCACUGUUUUUCAUGUAAACCCAUCAUGAUAAAAUAUAUCAAUAAAUAAGUAUUAAAAUGCUGUCUGGAAUAAACUUGUAUCACUAUAACAUUUCAGGGAAGUAUUUGUACUUCUUUCUUUGCAGGAUUUUUUUUUCUUUCCUUUCUCUCUAAACCUGUAUAAGAAUUGAUUUGAAUAUAUUCAGAUUUUCACAUUUUCAGGCAGGCUUCUUGGUUCUCUACUUUCCCUAAAAGGCUGUGCUUCCACUGAUGUUCCCCAGUGUAGUGGGAUAUCAGAACCUAUAAGAAACACUACAUUUUUUAAAUAGAAUGUUUUAAUACUUUCCAUCCUUUCAUGCUGUUUGUCUCAAGUAAUGAUUUCUUUCUGGGGUAUGGUAUCAAUGGUUAUUACUUGAAUGUACAAGACAGUAAGUGAAAUAUCACAGUGGAAAUAAGCUGUUAAGGAUGAUAUUGGCUAAAAUACUAGUUUAUUUGGAAAGUCCAAUUUAUCCUGAAAUCUGUGACAAGGAAAACAUCAAGUUUGGAUCAUAGGAGUUUACACAACUACUGGGAGCAGGAUUGGAUGGUGUUUUUGGUACCUCUGCAUUUCAAUUUCAUAUAAGCCAUAACAUAAUUAUGAUUUAGGCUAAGCAAACUAAUAGAAUUAUGAGUCACAAAAGGUAACUUCUCUGAAUUUAGCUUUUUUUUUCUUUUUCUUUUUUUAUCUGAAGUUUACAUAGAAGCAUUCAUGUAAGAUACUCAGCUGUCCUAUACUUGAUCAAGAACUUGAUAAAGGGAUAAUUUUUGCUGCCACUACUGGGAUUUUCCACAUAUGUGCAAUCACAGAGAUAUAAAUAUAUGCAAUUCUUCUAUUUAGUUCUUACAAUAUGACUUAAAGUUAAAAAUCAUAUCAGUAAAAACCAACAGGAAUUCUGUUUUUAUAAAAGUGGAACUCAGAUUUCAUCCAAAUAUGACAAAGAUACUAUUGAAAAGCUGUUUUUUUAUGAAAACUCUCAAAUCACUUGGGAUUUCACUUUUUUUUUUUAAUUAUACUUUUCUAUGUAAGACCAACCAUCUUACACGGUGAUCCUUAAACCAUCCAGUCAAAUCUCUCAGAGCAGAAUUAUGUAUGGUUCCCAGAAGAAAACAGCUGAAAACACUAAAGCUAGAUGGACAGAUGCAUUAAUUAUUACAUUAACUUCAAAUAUUUUUUUCCAUACCAAUAUGACUGAGAAAUAGAGAAUUUUUCAAACCAAGUAUUUGACAGGUAACAUACAGGGUAACAUGUCAUUUAUCUGUUAGACAAGAAAAUGCUCUUCUAGCUGAAUCUUAAUAAAAUAAACUUCUGUCUUCAUAUUUAGAAAGAUUUCACAAAAUACUUAGAUCUUGCCUCUGCACAAGAUGUCCAUAUAAUUUUCUUCCAUUUUAAGUAUUCCUUAAAGUAUAUUAGUGUAUCAUUAACAACCUGUGAACAUCAGGUGUGUGAAUGAUGUCCCUUCAUACAAAAGAUUGUCUUUUAAAAACACAACUCUCAGAGUGCCUCAUUUGAUUUUUCCCAGUUGGUAUGGAACCCAGGGCUGAAUCAAUGGAAAUACUUAAUCUUUCCUUUCUAUCAAAGCUAAAUACAGUACUGCAAAUGUUUGUGGUAUAUUCUCAAGCUCUUACUUACCAUUUAUUGUAAAACCAUAUCAAAAAAGAACGUAAAUAAAAUUCAAAAUGUUCUCUAGACAGAAGAUUUCUAUGUUGUAUUUAUCUCUGUAGUUUUGUAGGGACCUGAUUCUACUUAAUGAAUAAUAUUUUUAUUUUAAAGGCAAGUCUUUA